GAGACAGCAGCCGCCGCGGUAAUACGUAGGGUGCAAGCGUUAAUCGGAAUUACUGGGCGUAAAGCGUACGCAGGCGGUUAUAUAAGACAGAUGUGAAAUCCCCGGGCUCAACCUGGGAACUGCAUUUGUGACUGUAUAGCUAGAGUACGGCAGAGGGGGAUGGAAUUCCGCGUGUAGCAGUGAAAUGCGUAGAUAUGCGGAGGAACACCGAUGGCGAAGGCAAUCCCCUGGGCCUGUACUGACGCUCAUGCACGAAAGCGUGGGGAGCAAACAGGAUUAGAUACCCCGUAGUCCCUGUCUCUUAUACA
rnacentral:rRNA from 1 species